AGCGGGUCUCAUCGGUAUUCUCUGGUAUUUUUGACGAAAAUAUGCAACCAGUGAUCAGUUGAAUUGAUACCUUUUCAUCUACCAGAAGAUUUAAGGAGGUUAUUGCUUGGAAAACUGCUCGAGCUCCCGGGCUGGCAUGCACUGCAGGUACAGUGAAAUCAAUUAUGCAGGUUCUUGAAGAAAGUCAUGGAUGACAACAAUGUAUGAAUUACCAGACCAAGGGAUACCAAUGUUUUUUUGACGGUAUACUUGCUCCAGCUACUCAGCUUACUGUGAGAGAGUUAACACCUUAUUGACAUAUCUUUCAUGAAGAAGAAACACUUGAGAAGAGUUCAAGAGUUAAAUUUUAUAGAUGCAUGUUAUCUUCAAAAUGAGGGACCUGUCAACUUUUACAAUUCCAAGAUCAGGAAAUAAUUCAUGAGCAG